rnacentral:rRNA from 1 species
CGGCGGACGGGUGAGUAACGCGUGGGUAACCUACCCUGUACACACGGAUAACAUACCGAAAGGUAUGCUAAUACGGGAUAAUAUAUUUGAGAGGCAUCUCUUGAAUAUCAAAGGUGAGCCAGUACAGGAUGGACCCGCGUCUGAUUAGCUAGUUGGUAAGGUAACGGCUUACCAAGGCGACGAUCAGUAGCCGACCUGAGAGGGUGAUCGGCCACAUUGGAACAGAGACACGGUCCAA